rnacentral:ncRNA from 21 species
GAUGCCUCGAUAGGCGUAGGUACGUUAAAGCGUGCUUGGGGAAAUGCGGGUGAAAAUCCCGCGCUAUGCCAGUAACCGUAAACCUUCUUCGGCAUUACUGCGUCUGAAGGAAAAGUCGGAAUGCCCGCCACCGCUUUCGAGCCCUGG